rnacentral:rRNA from 1 species
UACGUAGGGUGCAAGCGUUGCCCGGAUUUAUUGGGCGUAAAGGGCGCGUAGGCGGCUCUGCACGUCCGUUGUGAAAUCGCCCGGCUCAACUGGGCGGGGUCAGCGGAUACGGCAGAGCUUGAGCAAGCUAGGGGGCAAUGGAAUUCCCGGUGUAGUGGUGGAAUGCGUAGAGAUCCGGAAGAACACCGGUGGCGAAGGCGGUCUGCUGGGCAGUUGCUGACACUGAGGCGCGACAGCGUGGGGAGCAAACAGG